ensembl:lncRNA
CGGAGGUGGAGUGCCUGGAUUAAAACAGGACAUAUUAGCUGCAUUUAACCUUCAGUUACUCUUUAUAUAGUUAAGUAGGAGUCAGGCCAUGUUUCUUUUUAGCUGAAAAACAUUACACCCAGAGAGACAGCCAGGUUCAUAAUGGAUAUGAGGAAGUUUUUUCAAAAAAAGGAGCCACAUUCAGAGGGAGAGAGGAAAGCGGGGAACAUGAGGAGAAAGUACAAGGUCAGGAAGAACCAGGUAAGAAAACAGACAGGGAAUACUAACAGGCAAAACAGAAACUGUUAAACUGGCAAAGAAAAGAACCCAACUAAUUUUACUCAUACAAUCUGGAAGUUGUGUUCUCCCUAUAUUAAAGCUGCUAUACAGAAUCUGCAAAACAAACUGGGUUGUCAGCCUGGCACUGCAUUACCAUAUUGAGCUUCAGUCAGAGGAAGUCACGGUUGCCAAAAACGUUUUGAAGCUCAAGAGUGAGGCUGGUGCCAUUCCAGAUAUGUUAACAUUGUACAAUAUUCUGGAUAAUCAGAUCUUCCCCACACUGAAAACUGUUAUUCAGGUUGCCC